rnacentral:lncRNA from 1 species
ACAAAUAGGUGUAUCUGACUACUUUGCAUUAUGUACCUAAAACUGUGUUUUCAUUUCAUUUUGCUUUAAUUUAAAUUUUAAUUGUUUUAUUAUUGUGAAAGGCUUAACAAUUUAGUUAUUCAUAACUUACUCUGUUUAAUGUGUAUCUCUUCUUAAAAUAAUUUGCAUAAUUGAAGAUCAUACAAUUGGUUUUAAGAAAUCAAUAGAUUACUAAGGGAAUAACAGUACUUAAUAAAUGAAUAAUUUCUUCCAAUGAGAAUAUACUUAUGAUAUAAUACUUUUGCUAUUACUCUGUUUUUUGUUUGAGUUUUUAUGCAUCUGUAGGUUGGAAAGUCUGAUCAUAUAUCCAGUACUGAGGAAGCCAGGUACAAAUGAAAGAAGAUACCUUCAUGAUUGCUGAACAACAAUGCUCACCCUCAGUAUUUAGAGGAUACAAGUUCUUCAAGUUAAGUUUUCCUCUGUGCAGCUGUGUCUUCAUCUAGGAAAAAUCACAUUAACCAUUGGUGUGAAAGGCUGAAAAUCUCUUUGAUGCUCUUGACUAAGGAUUAAAAGCCAGGGCCAUGUCUGACAACUUGACUUUGUUACUUCACAGUAGAAUGUGUCUGAGACUGUUUUUUGAUAUCAUCUUUACAUUGGAGUUGGUUGGUUAAAGGACACUUGAAGAUUGAACCCCAUUAUCAGUCUCAAGGUCUUUUAUU